GGUUAUGGCUCAGUGGUAGAGUGCUCGCUUCGAACAUGCAAGGCCCUGGGUUCAAUCCUCAGCACCA
rnacentral:tRNA from 1 species